rnacentral:sRNA from 1 species
AUUCUAAUGUUAAUUUGAGUCCUCCAAAAAUUGUUUGUGUGAGAGGGUCUGCAUGGAGCUUCUGGGAACCUGCUCCUAGUUAAUUCUGAUUGGUAAAUAAAGAUGCCAACAGCCAAUAGUUGGGAAGGAGACAAAGAGGUGGGAUUUAGGGUUCCCUGGCUUGGGACCAUGGACGGACGAGGAAGCAAGAGGAGAAGAGAGACAAGAGCCACCAUGGGGUAGAAAAGCAAGAGAGAACCCCGUACGAAGGACAAGAAAAUGUGGCCUAGAUCGCUGCUCAACUGGGUCAAGAGCAGCCAAGACGGAACAUAGAAAUUACACAAGAGCCCCAUGGAGACAAGCCUUUUCAUCAAGAGAGGCCCUUUCACUGGCUGCAGCAGAGCCCAGUGCUUUGAGGCACCUUUGGUUUGCGUUGUCAAGGUGACUGAGAGAUCAGGAUGGAGAGCUCAGCUUCUGCUCUGGUGCCUGUCUGCAUGCUGCCGUGCUCCCCGCCAGGAUGAUAAUGGACUACAUAAACCUCUACAACUGUAUGCUAACACCUUCCUUUAUAGGAGUUGCCUUGGUUGUGGUGUCCCUUCACAGCAACAGAGCAGUGACUAAAGUACCUGGAAUCUAGAAUAUUAACAACACUAUUCUCCCAGCUGCCCUGGCUCUGCCCACCCUGUCACUUGGAUCAGGAAACCGAGUCUCAGAUACACCAAGAAGCUUACCCAGCCUAGGACUGCUGUCGCCCAAAUGCCAGGCUAGCCCGGGGGUCCCUGGCAGUGAAUGAGUUCAGACUCUCAGGCUCCAGAGACACUUUUUACUCCAGCAGGGGCCAGGCUCGGGGGCAACAGGACCGGUGGGCAGUCCUGUGGGUGGGGACUCAGGCAGCAGGCACCUGGUCUGUUGGGCGGGGUGUAUACCCAAACCAAAGCUAGAGGCAGACCAUCUGUCACCUGCCACUCCAGGCCCAGAGACAGCAGAGCCAAGCCAAUUCCUUACCAUAAACACCAAAGACACAAGGAAAGCUAUGCUCACACCAAAAUCAGGACCCAAUGCCUCUAGCCUGGGGGACGUUUUCCGAAAGCUAAAAAAUCUUUUCCUGAAAUCAGAAUAGCAUACACACGUACACGCUCGCAUACUCAUACACACUCCAGCCCACUAGAAAUUUUGAGACACCACGGCCAACUAUUACAGUCUCCUCAACACCAACGGAAGGAAAAAAAAAGAAAUGAAGUCACGCGCAGCCUGUUGUGGAGUGAAUCAUGAUUCCUGGACUGGAGUUAGGGCCACCUAUAUACAGGGACUGUCCCUGAGCGCCAGAUGCUUCCCAGGCAGAGUCUGGAUGGAGAGCAUGCCAGGAUAGCAUAGUGUGUCAAAGCCAGAGGUCUGGUGGGAAUGCCUGAUUGGGCGUGAGACUGGAGAACCCCUAGGUAUGAAGCCAGAGAUACGCCGGAGAGCUAGAAGCCCUGGCGAGAGGCAGGGGUGGCCACAAGCAGACCUACAUAGAGGCAUAAGGAGGACACCUUCUCUGAGGGCUGGACACACAACAUGGUAGGUUUUGGUGUCAAGCUUAGAGCCUAGUGAAGCAAGCUUCCAGGUUUGAAUGAAUGAAAGGAAGUGGAUGAAGUGUCUCAGGAGGCUGUGACCCUGUCCCUGACCCCUCGGAUAGAAGCCACGGAUCUCAGGCUCCCAGGGUUUCCCAGCAAGGUUCCAUGGAGGUAGAAAGGGCAGUGGGGGUUCCAAAUAAGGACUGCGGGCACAAGGCGCGCUGUCCUGGGCUGCUCACUCAUUGGCUCACGUGUUAAAAUUGGCCAUGAUGCUCAGUGAAGAAGCUCAGCUUGAGUAAGCUAACUAUAAGGUUCACUGGCCGCCCCAUUGCUAGGGGAGCUCAGGUGAAUUUUGCAUGAGUUAUGGGAUGGUUAAGAGGACAGGAACCUCAAGGAUCCUCAGUGUGAUGCCAUGACUUUCAGACAUAUCCCACUUCCCCGGCUAGGUAGUGCAGUAUCAUUGCUGACACUCGUGUCCACCUGCCUUGGGAGCCUGGGCUUCUCCAGAUGCCCCUCCAGACCCCCGCCAUUUGUAAGAGCCUCCUACAGCCUUCUGGUCCCCCACCCACAGCGACCUCCUGAUUGAGGCUUACCUGUUAACCAAUUCUUUCGAUGUGCUCUGAGUCUCCAUAGAGCCCCAGGGUCAUCGGUCCAGGAACCAUCUACCUGGCUGCUGCGGGGCCUCAGUUCGGCUGCUUCCACAUUUCUAACUCCCAGGAAGAAAUAGAAACUCAGCGGGGAGUCUUCAAAACAAGUGGUCAUGCUGGGCUUUCCACUGGGGUCUGGUGGGCAUGUCAACUGGCUUCUGACACCUAAGAGGGAGGAGGACCCCCAGACAGGACAAGGGGUGACAUCAAGGCCUGGAGUGGGGGCAGGUACACAUGUCCAGUAGGAGAGAGAAUGCACAGCACCUCCUGUGGAAACCUGAGGUAGUGGUGCUGGCCGAUGAAGCUGGAUGAGUGAGGGGAUAGAUGAUUGACAGGUAUCAGAAGGCAGACCAUCUGGAAGGGGUGAAGACUGCAUUGUGGACAGCAGGUCAAACUGGAGUCUGGUGCCCUGGGGACUGUCACACUGGCUGAGGAGAAGACCGGCUCAGCCUCGCUUGAUGGAGACAAGCUGGAGACAAGAUGGCCUUGGAGGAUCAAUAAAGUAGAGGUGGUCUUUGGCUCUUGGAAAAUGCUCUGUCAGUCCAGAUGAAAAAUUUUCACUUGAAUUUGCAUCUUGAGUCUGUCCUAAAUCGGAGCCCGGGCACACUCAGAUCUCAGGUCUCCAGGUUUCAAGAUAAGACGGAGUGGGGGACACCAUGCCAGAAUUCUAUGAAGCUCACUCUUCCUUGACCCUCAAUCUGGUAAUGGCCUUACCCUCAGCCUCUGUGUACCAAGGAACAGAGGCCAGCCAGGAAGAGAUGUCCUGCCUGGGUGACUCUCAGGCCCCAUCACUUCACACUCCUUUUUCUUGCCGAUAGAACUCAGGAAGAGGCCACUUCACCACCCUCGAGGUCAUGAACUACAAGGAGGAUCCAAUGAGGCUGGACAAAGGGGGGCUAUGCAAAGGACCCCCAGAAGCUCCGCCCUGGAUACCAAGGCACCAUCAAAGAUGGUGUCUUUCACAUUCACAUGGACACACCAUGGCUCUUCAGCCCAUGCCUGUUUGGAGUCAGGCAAUGUCACUGGAGGCCUCAGAGGAGCCAGAUCUCAACCGGAUGGCAGUGGGUGGUCAAGAGACCCUACAGAGGCUCAUGUAGAACCCCAUGCUGCCAGGCGGGGGGGGGGGUGGUUGGCUGGGAGGCAGCUUGCUCUGCAGCCUGAGACCAACAUUAUAUUUAGGCAGAGUAGGUGGCUGCCUACUUGGUGUGAUUUCACAGGCUCUGGGGGGCCCCUUCCAAACCCCAAAAUACCUCCUCCACCUGCUUCCUGCUAUAGCAGUCCCUGAUAAGAGCAUCUUUCUAUUCCUGAGUUAGGAAGCAGGCUAGCCGCCCUGUGCUGGAGUUGAUUGCCGUGGAAUCAGGUGUAUGUUGGAUCUGAGGCCUGGUAAGGAAGGCCUGGUGUGGACUUCCGGGGCCGUUGUGUUUCCGGGAAACCAUGGGUAGCCAGGCCUCUGAUUCUUGAUGGUGGAGCCAGGCACUCUGUAAAUGUUAGGGUUGCUGUAGGAGUCCUCCACAUAUCUGUGUUGGUGACAACGGUGCCGGGACUUAGGAGAUGGACAGUCUCGUGCACUCACUGUUGCAUAUGGUGACAUGCAGAGAGAAGACAGAUGUCCCCAAGGCAUAGGUAUAACUGGACUUAGCUGACAGAGCAGAGCUUUUCAAGCUGAGGCUUUGUAGGUAGAUAGGAGUUCACUAGGUGAUGGGCAGAGAUGAUGUCUCCAUGCAGUAAGACGGGCUUGUGGGAUGGCUCAAGGUAGGCUGGGGUUGGUACCUCAGAGGGUCAACGGUAGCUAAGAGGAAAGAUAGCAAGACAAAAAAACAGAACAGGCACAAGCCAACCUUCUAUGCUCAGCCCAUCCAUACGACGGCAUCUAGGUCUACAGCUUAGGAAGUUCCACGACUUACAGAAGGAUCCCCAGAGUGUGAGCCCUAGCCCCAGAGUGGAGGCAGGGUGGAGGGCAGGACAGUAGACUCCAGAUGACCCCUCUCUCUCCCCUCAGCUUCCUUAUCAGAAGGCCAGACCAGGAUUCCAGCCUUCUAGGAAAGGGUAAGCAACGGGCUUUGCUAGCUCUCAUUGUUGGUAUUAUGUAGCCAGUGAGCAAGCUAUUUCAUCCCUCAGACACACAUGUGGAGACAUCCAGCCUGGAAAAGUAUGGAAGUCUUUUCUUUACAGCUUGCAGCCUUGGUCACCACUGUCAAUUCCACAAUUGUCAUCUUUCUGUGUCCUCAAUGUUAACAAGAUUUGUCUAUGCUAGAGGGAUUGUGUUUCACGGAUGGCAUGUCUAAUCAACAGAGCUCCUUACUGGCCGUGCAGCACGAUGGGAUGGUUGGCGUUGUCAACCUGACAGAACCUAGAAUCACCUGAGACAGGUCUCUGGUCCGACCUGUUGGGGGGCUCUUGAUUGUUUUAAUCAGGUGGGAAGAACUGCUCCUGAUGGAAGGGUUCUUGUAAUGUGUGCCGUGGCUGCGGCUGCCUCUCUGUGGGUGCCGGAUGUAGUCACUAUUUUAAAUGCUUGUCAGUUUGGAGACAAAAUAUUUCUCAGCACUUUAAUUUGAGUCUCUUUGAAUUAUGCUAAUUGUACCUCCCUGGCUCUGAGCUGCCCGGCUGUGCCUCUGCUUGUUUUGUAGCUGGGUUCGUUGUACUCUCUGUCUUGACUUGAAACGCUUUUCAUAUUGUCUAAAUAAUAAUCCUUUGCUUGCUUUAA